UACGGAGGGUGCAAGCGUUUAAUCGGAAUUACUGGGCGUAAAGCGUGCGCAGGCGGUUUGUUAAGUCCGCUGUGAAAUCCCCGAGCUCAACUUGGGAAUUGCAGUGGAUACUGGCAAGCUGGAGUAUGGUAGAGGAAGGUGGAAUUCCCGGUGUAGCAGUGAAAUGCGUAGAGAUCGGGAGGAACACCAGUGGCGAAGGCGGCCUUCUGGACCAAUACUGACGCUCAUGCACGAAAGCGUGGGGAGCAAACAGG
rnacentral:rRNA from 1 species